ACCUAGCUGGCUCAGUUGUAGAGCAUAUGACUCUUGAUCUCCAGGUCAUGAGUUCAAGUCCCAUGUUGGGUA
rnacentral:tRNA from 1 species